ACUGCAGUGGGGUCGAGCCGCUUAGCAUCCAUCAAGCACCAUCUCUGCCUUGGAAGGUUUUCCAGUGUAGAAAAACCUUUGGUACACGGUGGACCUCAGUGCAUCUUCUGAGGAGACCACACCACCAUCCAGAAAUCACACAGAAAAUCCACAUCAGGAGGAUAUCAAGGACACAGAGACUAAAGAUCUGAAAGCGGGGGCGGAGACUUUAGUCUUUGAUUUGGUCCGUUUCUCCGGAUGCGGAUACGUUUCUGUAGAAUUCUGGUAUCCCAUGAUAUUUGUUGGCAUGAAAUGCCAACUUCCUUCAUAGGUCCUCGAGGAUCUAGAAGAUUCAGACCUCUCUUCAGAGGAAGAGGAUGAAUCAGUUGAGAUUGUACCUGCUCUUGCCUC